CAUAAAGGUUGUAUUUAUAUUUGUCAUAUAUUUCUAGAACUCUAUGACAAAUUGGGCAAGGAGAUGUGUCACUUCCGGCUACCGUAACAGUUUUAAUCGUUUGAGAAGAGUUCGGCAACUUGUUAAAAAUCAGUAUAUGGAAUAUUUUUGUUCCAGCUGGAUAGAAGUCUUAUAGGAACCCGGAAAUAUCUUCUAAACGGCAAACUCAGAUGCUGCUGGAUACAUGCAACUCAUCAUUCCCUAUGCCCCAGAGGCUCCUUUCCUGUGAGGAUUGACCCAUGUGUUCAAAACACAGUCCAAGAUGUCUUCAACCAAAACUUUCACUCAGUAUUUAGUGUGCAGGCCUUGAAACGGAGCCAAGCCAGGCUGGUCCAGGUCGGGACGGAGCGGAUUGAUGAGCGGAGUGAAGAAAGGCACCAGAGGGGUUCUAUGAUGAAGGGGUUUGCGUGCAACGAAGGAUCAGUGUCUCCAGUAACAUAUGAAGACCAGCUGACACAAACCUCAAAUGACCUCUAACAGCAUGCCUCAUUCUGAUGGGCUGCAGCUAAAACCCGAUGUGGAAUUGGACUCCAGCAAAAUAACAAAACAACAACUGGGGUGUAGUCAUGUCAGGCUGAAAAAGCACAAACCCACAUGGUAUUCAUUUGCUGGCCCUUCAGUUGUCAUAAAGGCGAGUGACAGAUUGUCUUUGGAAAUUCGUUGUAUAUUUGCUUACAGAAAGUGAAAUAUUACUAUAUUAGGUGCAGACCUAAGUAACAACAAAUUGUAACUGAUUUGAGGGAAAAGAAGUCAGAUUAGCAAGAAGUGUAUAUGUAUUUAUAGUUUUUAGGAGUGAAAAAGGAAGAAGAAAACCAAAAUGACAUCAAUUAAACCCCUAUUCUCUUUUACUAAAAGAGGGAAGUGAAACUGAUUUUGUGUAAAGUGAUGUGUGUGUUGGUAGCAUUAUAGUAUGAAUUCUUUUCAGUGGCUUGCCCACAAAUGUACACUCUAACACGUAUACAGUAUUUAGACACAUUAGUUGAUUAAUCAAUUAGUCAAUUGAAAAGUAAUUAAUCAGCAGCUACUUUGAUACUUGAUUAACUGUUUGUCAUUUUUCAAGCAAAAAUGUCAAACUUUCUCUGGUUCCAUUUUCUCAAAUACACAGAUUUGCUAUUUUUUUCUCUUUUAUGACACUGUGAAUUUAAUAUUUUUGUGUUUUGGACUGUUGGUUGGACAAAACCAGUGAGAGUGAGACUGAGGUUGUCACCCUGGGCUUUAGGACAUUGAUAUGAGCAUUUUUCACUUUUUUGACAUUUUGUAGACCAAGUAAUUAACCAGUCCUGCUCAGUGAGCCCCUUGAAAACUCUUGACUCAGACUGUUUGCUCUUGACAUCAGAUGUGGAAGGAUAGUUUUCCAGAGUUUGACUUACAUCAUGACUUACACUGCGGGAUAAAUGAGGAUGACAUAAUUGGAUGACUGCAGACAGUCUGACAAACAGUCCAAAAUUUGGUUUGCUCUCACAAGAGUGAGAAAAAUUUAACUGUACCGAAAAAAAGUAUAUCACUGUAGUCAAAACAGGGUUUUUUUGCAAGUUAGCUAUUGCAUCAAAAUGAUAAAGCAUUUGCAACAUACUAACGACAUGCUUGAAAAACAAAACAAAAAACAAGUUAGCUCAACUACCCGAAAUCACAAAAGACACCAUUAAGAUCCUGAUACAUCUACAAUAUUAACAUAACAAUCGUAAGUGCUCUAUCAUAAAUCUGUUUUAGGCAUUACACGUGUUGCACAUUUGCGCAUUUCAUGUGAUGCACAAUUACAGAAGUUUUCCUCUGACAUGAAACUUAAUUUGUUGGCUUGCAAAGCAGGUAUAAACAAAGGCAGGAAGUUGAAUUUAAUCAACAACUGUUCUACAAUAUGGUUUUUAUAAAAGUCAUGACCUGAACAGACAUUUGUGCUCUUUACGUUUCUUGUUGGCCUCAAGCUGAGUCAACCAAUCUCACUGAGAGGACACAGAGAUACUGUUGGAAGUUUUCUUUACAAACUGGAAAAUCCAACAGACCUGCCAUUUCAGGGCCAAGCCAAUUUUGGAGAAACGUGUUAUCUCAUUUCAAGUGAGCUCUG